rnacentral:rRNA from 1 species
UCCAGACUCCUACGGGAGGCAGCAGUGGGGGAUAUUGCACAAUGGGGGGAACCCUGAUGCAGCGACGCCGCGUGGGUGAAGGAGCGUUUCGGCGCGUAAAGCUCUAUCAGCAGGGAAGAAAAUGACGGUACCUGACUAAGAAGCCCCGGCUAACUACGUGCCAGCAGCCGCGGUAAUACGUAGGGGGCAAGCGUUAUCCGGAUUUACUGGGUGUAAAGGGAUCGUAGACGGCGCUGCAAGUCCGGAGUGAAAGCCCAUGGCUUAACCAUGGUACUGCUCUGGAAACUGUGGAGCUUGAGUGCGGGAGGGGCAGGCGGAAUUCCUAGUGUAGCGGUGAAAUGCGUAGAUAUUAGGAGGAACACCGGCGGCGAAGGCGGCCUGCUGGACCGUAACUGACGUUGAGGCUCGAAAGCGUGGGGAGCAAACAGGAUUAGAUACCCUAGUA